rnacentral:rRNA from 1 species
GAUGAACGCUGGCGGUAUGCUUAACACAUGCAAGUCGUACGAGAGUUUUUAACUCUAGUGGCGGACGGGUGAGUAACACGUGAGAAUCUACCCUAAGGAGGGGAAUAACAGCUGGAAACGGUUGCUAAUACCCCAUAUGCCGAAAGGUAAAAGGAAAUAUCCACCUUAGGAAGAGCUCGCGUCUGAUUAGCUAGUUGGUGAGGUAAUAGCUCACCAAGGCCAUGAUCAGUAGCUAGUUUGAGAGGACGAUCAGCCACACUGGGACUGAGACACGGCCCAGACUCCUACGGGAGGCAGCAGUGGGGAAUUUUCCGCAAUGGGCGAAAGCCUGACGGAGCAAUACCGCGUGAGGGAUGAAAGCCUCUGGGCUGUAAACCUCUUUUCUCAAGGAAGAAGACCUGACGGUACUUGAGGAAUAAGCCACGGCUAAUUCCGUGCCAGCAGCCGCGGUAA